rnacentral:rRNA from 1 species
ACUACAUGAAGCUGGAAUCGCUAGUAAUCGCAGAUCAGAAUGCUGCGGUGAAUACGUUCCCGGGUCUUGUACACACCGCCCGUCACGCCAUGGGAGUUGGAAAUGCCCGAAGCCAGUGACCCAACCGUAAGGAGGGAGCUGUCGAAGGUGGAGCCGAUGACUGGGGUGAAGUCGUAACAAGGUAUC